rnacentral:rRNA from 1 species
CACGUAGGGGGCGAGCGUUGUCCGGAUUUAUUGGGCGUAAAGAGCUCGUAGGCGGCUCGGUAAGUCGGGUGUGAAAACUCGGGGCUCAACCCCGAGACGCCACUCGAUACUGCUGUGGCUAGAGUCCGGUAGGGGAGCGUGGAAUUCCUGGUGUAGCGGUGAAAUGCGCAGAUAUCAGGAGGAACACCGGUGGCGAAGGCGGCGCUCUGGGCCGGAACUGACGCUGAGGAGCGAAAGCGUGGGGAGCAAACAGG